UGGGGAAUUUUGGACAAUGGGCGAAAGCCUGAUCCAGCAAUGCCGCGUGUGUGAAGAAGGCCUUCGGGUUGUAAAGCACUUUUGUCCGGAAAGAAAUCCUUGGCUCUAAUACAGUCGGGGGAUGACGGUACCGGAAGAAUAAGCACCGGCUAACUACGUGCCAGCAGCCGCGGUAAUACGUAGGGUGCAAGCGUUAAUCGGAAUUACUGGGCGUAAGCGUGCGCAGGCGGUUUGCUAAGACCGAUGUGAAAUCCCCGGGCUCAACCUGGGAACUGCAUUGGUGACUGGCAGGCUAGAGUAUGGCAGAGGGGGGUAGAAUUCCACGUNUAGCAGUGAAAUGCGUAGAGAUGUGGAGGAAUACCGAUGGCGAAGGCAGCCCCCUGGGCCAAUAGCGAUCAUGCACGAAAGCGUGGGGAGCAAACAGGAUUAGAUACCCUGGUUCACGCCCUAAAACGAUGUCAACUAGUUGUUGGGGAUUCAUUUCCUUAGUAACGUAGCUAACGCGUGAAGUUGACCGCCUGGGGAGUACGGUCGCAAGAUUAAAACUCAAAUGAAUUGACGGGGUCAUAGCUGUUUCCU
rnacentral:rRNA from 1 species